GAGCUCAGACAGUAGAGGAUGAGAUUUUUAAUCUCGGGGUCAUGGGUUCGAACCCCACAUUGGGCA